rnacentral:pre_miRNA from 1 species
AAUAAACCAAUUUUUCACUUUUUACCUAUAUUUUUUGACUCUUCGUCUUAUUUAAAUUUUUUUUAUGAUUGAUAUUUUUGUUUUUAUUAGAUGAUAAAUUAUGAAUAGUACUUUACGUGUGACUAAUUUUUUUUCUAAUUUUUUAAAUAAGACGGAUGAUCAAACGUUAGACACAAAAACCAGAG